rnacentral:rRNA from 1 species
GCGCAGCAGGCGAGAAAACUUUACAAUGUGCGAAAGCACGAUAAGGGAACUCUGAGUGCUUCCUAAGGAGGCUGUUCUGAUGUCUAAAAAGCAACAGAAGUAAGGGCUGGGUAAGACCGGUGCCAGCCGCCGCGGUAACACCGGCAGCCCAAGUGGUAGCCACGUUUAUUGGGUCUAAAGCGUUCGUAGCCGGCCAGGUAAGUUCCUUGGUAAAUUUAGCCGCUUAACGGUUAAGCUUUCAGGGAAUACUGCUUGGCUUGGGACUGGGAGAGGUCAGAGGUACUCCGGGGGUAGGGUGAAAUCUAUUAAUCCCUGGGGGACCACCGGUAGCGAAGGCGUCUGACCAGACCAGGUCCGACGGUGAGGGACGAAGGCUAGGGGCGCGAACCGGAUUAGAUACCCCUGUAGU